GUGGGAGGAUUAAAUGUUCCUUCCUUCAGGGCAGUGGUUAGGCUUUCUCUCCACCAAAAUCUAACUUUAGCUGUAAAGAAGCCUGCAGUUAUGAAGGACUUUGUAUCCAGGGAUCUCAAAGAACUUUAUGCAUCAUUUAUUGUGAACCGUGUUUUGCAAAGACUUCAGUUACUUGAGGCUUGAGAGGCGGAUAGGGGAUAAAUGUCUGAGUUAUAUAUAUAUUUAUGCAAGUAAUCGAGUUUGAGGGGAGAGACACAAAACCUCUGGUUUAGCGGUUUCCUCCUGUUUCUGAAGUACCUUCUCGCGGUUAUCUUAGAGAUGUAAGUUCCUUUACUUGUCCAGCACGAAAAGGCCAAAGGGGCUUGUUUUCUCACCCAAAAGACCUUCCUGAGGCAGCUGUUCGAAUACAUGCAGAGCACAGAGCCCUGCUCAGAAAGGAAGAUUCAGAGAACAAAUUGCCGUUUAAAACUAUUGGGACAAACCUGCCUCUUCCAAAGCUUAGAAUGGUCUCUAGCGUACCAGGAUUUGUGAAGGCCUGCAGUUCGUAGAAUGAAAUCUAUGUGGAGAUGAUUUAAAAGAACAGUUUCACUGGUGCCGAUUUCAGUGUCUGCUGUGUUGCAGUAGUGCCUUUGCUGAGUUUGAAACUGGAAACUCCAAGCGGUGAAAAUGUGAAGAUCUGAGUGGUGUGAAAUGAAGUCACUUUCAGAGAGAACAUUUUGCUGAAAUUUAGAGUGAGCUAGAUGUGCCUAAGUCAUACACAGGAAGUAGGAGACCUGGGCGUCAAGGGGACAAACAGCCCCACGGUGAAAAAAGGCAAUUACUGGGAAAAUGAGAGAAGAUUGCAAAGUACACAGAAUCAGCUAUGCACAUUGUGAAAUAUAAGUCACCCCACUAUGUGUUUUGGGGCUGCAGUCACAAAGAUCAAGAUAGAAAAUAAAAAUAUUCACCUCCA